UACGUAGGGGGCGAGCGUUGUCCGGAUUUAUUGGGCGUAAAGAGCGUGUACGCGGCUUGGUAGGUCUCGCGUCAAAAGCUGCGGCUCAACCGCAGUCCGCGCGGGAAACCACCUCGCUAGAGUCCGGAAGAGGAGGGGGGAAUUCCAGGUGUAGCGGUGAAAUGCGCAGAUAUCUGGAAGAACACCAGUGGCGAAGGCGCCUCUCUGGGACGGUACUGACGCUGAGACGCGAAAGCGUGGGGAGCGAACAGG
rnacentral:rRNA from 1 species